GGUCAUGGCUCAGUGGUAGAGUGCUUGCCUAGCAUGUGUGAGGUACUGGGUUCGAUUCUCAGCACCA
rnacentral:tRNA from 1 species